CCACCUCUGACGAGGCUAAGCACGCCCCAACAAGAGAGAAGGCUAGUGAGGGAAAAAUUAGAUCCCAAAGGUAAAGGAUCGCGAGUUGCAAACGAGGCCAAGAGAAAAAAACUCGUCAGGGAAGAGCAAGAGUCUUCAGUACCUCUCUCUCGAUACUCAUCGUCUCCGAUUACUCCAGCUGGUGGCUACGAUUGGCGACAAAUACUCCAGCUCGGCAGCUGGGCGAAGUGGGCGACUAACGACCGUACUACUGCUGCGAAUCGGCAGGUGUUUGAUGAAAUUCAUCACUGAAGAAACAAAAGAAGCAUCAAUUUUUAUAUCUUUACAAGAGUGAUAAAGCCUUGAACUCAGAAAUGCUAUACACAUAUGAUUCAACUCAUAUUCACCAGCUUUAUGAGUUCUACUCUGAAAUUAGAUGAUAAUUACUGCUAUACCAUUAGAGUUUCUCUUAAUCAUACUUGAAAUCCUGCCAUGUCUGAUAUUGGACAGUGCAGAAGGCACAAACUAUUCCAUUGUGUCUUCAUUCCCUAGACGUGGAAGAUGGUGCCAGAAACUAUUGCUUCACUUUUGCAUCACUGCUCUAAGACUAAGGCACUCCGAUGUGGCCUUUCUCUUCAUUCUGCUGCUAUUAAGACUGGCUUGCAGUGUGAUGUUUUCACCUCCAAUCAUGUCCUCAACAUGUAUGCUAAGUGUGGCAAUAUCAAAUUUGCCAGCCAAGUGUUCGAUGAAAUGUCUGAGAAAAAUCUUGUGACGUGGUCAGCAAUGAUCUCUGGUUAUGAUCAAGCUGGGAAGCAUAUGAUGGCUAUCAACCUCUUUUCUCAGAUGCAUCUAGAGCCAAAUGAAUAUAUACUUGCUAGCAGUUUAAGUUCCUGUGCUAAUCUCUUGGCGCUGAAAGAUGGGCAACAGAUCCAUUGUAAGUCUAUCAAAUUAGGUUACUCUUCUGUCUCUUUUGUUUCCAACUCGCUAAUGUCAAUGUAUAUGAAAUGUAGCAAAUGUGAUGAUGCUUUAUCAAUUUUCACUAGUGCAUCAGAACCUAGUGCUGUUUCUUUUAAUGCAAUAAUUACUGGUUUGGUAGAAAAUAAUCACAAACAAAGAGCAUUUGAGAUGUUCAAACUUAUGUGCCGACAAGGUUUGAUUCCAGACCGGUUCACUUUUGUGGGAUUAUUAGGAACUUGCUGCACUGCAGAGGACUUGGGAUUAGGGAUGAGUUUGCAUGGCCAGACAAUCAAGCUACAACUUGACUCAACUGCUUUCAUGGGAAACAUAUUAAUUACAAUGUACUCAAAGUUGAAUUUGAUUGACGAAGCAGAGAAGGUUUUUAGAUUGAUAAGUAAGAGAGAUAUUAUUUCAUGGAACACUCUGAUUGCUGCCUGUUCUAAUUGUGAUGAUCACCAAAAAGCCUUAAGCAUUUUUAGAGAUAUGGUGAAACAAUUUUUUGGCAAGAUUGAUGACUUCACCUAUGCCAGUGUUCUUUCUGUAUCUGCUGGUUUGGCUUCAAUAAACCUAGGUGGCGAGCUACAUGCUCAUUUGAUUAGAAGAAGGCCAAGUGUAGAUGUAGCUGUUGGCAAUGCCUUAGUUAACAUGUAUGCUAAAUGUGGUUGUAUGCAACGUGCUUAUACUGUUUUUAAGCUAAUGCAUUGUCGUAAUCUGGUUUCUUGGAAUACCAUCAUCGCUGGAUUUGCGAACCAUGGUCAUGGAAGAAAAGUAAUAAAAAUGUUUGAGGAGAUGAAGAAACUUGGUCUGACGCCAGAUUCUGUUACAUAUCUAGGACUUUUAACUGCUUGCAAUCAUGCGGGGCUUGUAGAUGAGGGCCAAUCUUUCUUCAUUUCCAUGAAAGAGAUUCAUGGGAUCUCCCCUAAUAUUGAGCACUUCUCUUGCCUAAUUGAUCUUCUGGGACGAGCUGGGAGACUGAAAACUGCCGAAGAAUAUAUGCAAGCGUAUCCUUUUGGGAAUGAUCCAGUUGUUCUAGGCUGCUUACUUUCUGCAUGUCGGCUUCAUGGGGAUGUUGCCAUAGGGGAGCGGCUAGCUAAGAGGCUUCUCAUGCUUGAGCCUGUUUCCACUUCACCGUAUGUUUUACUGUCUAAUUUAUAUGCAUCAGAUGGGAUGUGGGGUUGUGUUGCUGAGGCAAGAAAAUUGUUGAAGGGGAGUGGUCUGAAGAAGGAGGCUGGCCAGAGUCUGAUUGAAGUCAAGGGAUCUGUCGAAAAGUUUACUAUAGGUGAUUUUUCCCAUUCAAGGAUCAAGGAGAUACUGCAUGUACUCAGAAGUUUAAGCUCGAUAUGGGAUGAAGAAUAUCAAAGCCAUUGAUUUGUCUGAAGGAGAGCCUUUGGUAGUCAAAUUCGGGUUAAAAUUCCUGAACCGGGACGUGGCGGUUGACGGCAACGGUAGAGAGUCUGGAGACGUUGGCGGGGGCCUCAGGAAGAGUUAUCUUUUCUGUCUAACUAUCUAAAGAGUGGUACAAUUCCAGAUCUUUCCUAAGGAUAGUUGGAAUACAUACUAUCACAUACUUCAUACAAUCACACAAGAUUAUGUAAGGUACAUUGGUGGUGAAAGCCUGAAGAUACAAAAUGCUGUCAGUUGUUUGGUGGCAAUUAUGAUUUCUGCUGUGGCAUAAAUCAUCUCACUUAAGAGUUUUUUUCUUUCAAAAGGUUGAAUCCUCAACCCCAAGGGUCCUCUACACCCUGGCCUGAUAGAGCAUUUGAGAGGAUGUAAAGACAGUUUUCAUUAAUUGGGAUGCCUGCCUGCCUUUGGUGUUCAGCGCACUAUUUGUUCCUUGGAUUCAUACGUAACCAAUCGUUAUACCAUGGACCGACCCCUGCCCCCUUGUAAGGCCAAUCACUGACAUAAAGUACAAUUUUAAAUACAUUGAAUGUUCAUUUUUUGAAGGUUCAUUAUUUGUGUACUAAGGAAACUUUCAGUAUAUUAAAAAUGAACA